rnacentral:rRNA from 1 species
CCUACGGGAGACUGCAGUAGGGAAUCUUCCACAAUGGGCGAAAGCCUGAUGGAGCAACGCCGCGUGGGUGAAGAAGGUCUUCGGAUCGUAAAACCCUGUUGUUAGAGAAGAAAGUGCGUGAGAGUAACUGUUCACGUUUCGACGGUAUCUAACCAGAAAGCCACGGCUAACUACGUGCCAGCAGCCGCGGUAAUACGUAGGUGGCAAGCGUUAUCCGGAUUUAUUGGGCGUAAAGGGAACGCAGGCGGUCUUUUAAGUCUGAUGUGAAAGCCUUCGGCUUAACCGGAGUAGUGCAUUGGAAACUGGGAGACUGGAGUGCAGAAGAGGAGAGUGGAACUCCAUGUGUAGCGGUGAAAUGCGUAGAUAUAUGGAAGAACACCAGUGGCGAAAGCGGCUCUCUGGUCUGUAACUGACGCUGAGGUUCGAAAGCGUGGGUAGCAAACAGGAUUAGAUACCCGAGUAGUC